rnacentral:rRNA from 1 species
AGAUUGAACGCUGGCGGCAGGCCUAACACAUGCAAGUCGAGCGGUAGAGAGGUGCUUGCACCUCUUGAGAGCGGCGGACGGGUGAGUAAAGCCUAGGAAUCUGCCUGGUAGUGGGGGAUAACGCUCGGAAACGGACGCUAAUACCGCAUACGUCCUACGGGAGAAAGCAGGGGACCUUCGGGCCUUGCGCUAUCAGAUGAGCCUAGGUCGGAUUAGCUAGUUGGUGAGGUAAUGGCUCACCAAGGCGACGAUCCGUAACUGGUCUGAGAGGAUGAUCAGUCACACUGGAACUGAGACACGGUCCAGACUCCGUACGGGAGGCAGCAGGUGGGAAUAGUUGGACAAGUGGGACGAAAGCCUAGACUCCAGCCAUGCCGCGUGUGUGAAGAAGGUCUUCGGAUUAGUAAAG